ACUAACCUUCAAGCUCGUUUGCAAGUGUUUACAUGAACACAAAAAGCAAUCCCUUGUGUGGAGAUCUCGUUGUGAACCGUCACAAUAAAAUACCCCUCAAAAAUAAGGCAAAAAUCAAAGAGGCGCCGUGUUGGGAAAGACGAAAGAAGAAGCAGCGUGUGAGGAAUUAUGAAUGGACUGGGAGCACAUUGUGUCUGAGUGCACUACCGCAGGUUUCUCGGCAGAGGGUGCAGAGGUUCUCCCACUCACUAAAUUGGUGAAAUUUCCUUUCUGCUCAGACCUCCCAGAACCCCAAACAACCCAAUGCAGACUGCUUCCCAUUUUGGGUGCAGUGACUCAGGUCUUCCUGUUGUCGAAGGAGCCAAAUGAAGGAAUUGAGAUCUAAAUCCCUCUGGAUCAGUUCUUCUGCCCCUGCCAUCUUGCCUUCGGAUGGUGCUCUAAAACAUGGGCCAACAAGUGGUGCCUAGUGGUUUCCCCCCUCCAGUGGACUAACGCUCAAUCCAAAAUACAAGAAAAUACAAUCACAACAGUCGUUUGAAAUAUUCCACAUACAGUUUUGUAGCUGCAGUUUUCAUGACUGCUCCUGUUACGGCGUUGGCUUUUGUGAUUGAAAAUAUCGCAUCAUCAAAGAAGUAUGAGACUGGAAAUGUCUUAUGAACUCUCUUUGCUUUUUGUAAGAAAUUGAAAAGAUUCAGGAAACAGCCAGCAUUUUCACAGAGCACAUUUCACAUGACUACUAUCUAACUUAUAAGGAUUCCCUUAUUCUGUAUUCACCUGCCUGGGAGGUGGUAUUUGUCACGAACACUAACUUAAAAAAAAAAAAGAAAUUUUGUUUGACAGCAAUUCAACAAGUGGUGAAAACUAUGUGAUCUGUGAUCAACUGAUAAGGAAACUGUGAUAUGAAUCAAAGACUGUUGCUAAUGUGCGUGUGCUGGUUGCUGCUGCUAUUCCCUUUAUGUAUACAUAAAGAACAAUACAAAGGCAUUCACACAUAGGUACAGCAAAUAUGCACACACACACGUGUAUACAAGCCGGUGGAUGGCUCCCGUCUAUCCAAGAGUGCACGCUUGAUUUUAGGGGAUGGGGCAGAGCGUUAUCAGGGUUAAGACUGUCUAUGCCAGUAUUUGUUUUGUGUUAUUGUAUGCUGUCUUAAACAUGACCCAUAUUACAAGAUUAUAAAGUGUGCUGUUUUCAUUUGAGAGGAGCUGCAGGCUGCUUUUAUCCAAUUAAGAUGAUGGUACUCAUUUAUGUUCAAUAGAACGUUGCAGGCCGUAUUCUCUGUUCUGUGUACGUAGAACACAUAAACACACGAUAUAUGAAAUAUGCCCUCAUGUGGAGAUGGAAAUGCAAA